rnacentral:rRNA from 1 species
UGGGCGUAAAGCGCACGCAGGCGGUUUGUUAAGUCAGAUGUGAAAUCCCCGGGCUCAACCUGGGAACUGCAUCUGAUACUGGCAAGCUUGAGUCUCGUAGAGGGGGGUAGAAUUCCAGGUGUAGCGGUGAAAUGCGUACAGAUCUGAAGGAAUACCGGUGGCGAAGGCGG